UUCGGGCGCAUGCACGAGAGGACAAGAGCUUUCCGGCCAAAUCUCCCCCAACAGAGACCCCAAAGUGGUCUCUCUCUCUCUCUGUCUUUGUCUGCACACCUUAGCUUAGUCACAAUACACCGAAUUAUACAUAUAAGAAAAGAGUAGAAAAUAUAGAAAACACAUCAAACACGCCAAUGUCACUUUAACCCUCGCGCUUUAACCCUGACUUUGGAGGCGUGAAUCACUCUUCAGCCUUGUCUUCAACCCUCUUCGGACUGUGACGCUACAUUUUAUCGAUUGAUUAACCUUUUCAAGACCACCGCGACGUUCCCAAUGAAUACAAGACGAGCGAAUUGCGACUCUUUUCACACAACUUUUGCCUCUUCAAUGUGUGUUUGUAAGAGUAAUUUGAGUCUUUGUCAUUGUUAAUUACGGAUUUUCUCUGCUAUCAGUUCUUAAAAAGAGUCUUUUCGAUUGGAAUUUGAGCAAAGGAUUGCUAAUGUCGGAGAUACAAUUAUAAAUAUUUACUAAAUUUGUCGCUUUUCGCGAAUGGUGGGAUUUAAUAGUAAUUUAGAUUAUUUUAAAUAAACAAACGAAGCCAUAAAGAACUUGAAUUCCGUGUCAAUUCAUCAAUGUUUGUCCCAAAUUAGUGAUUAUGAUGAGCUUAGAAUGUUUUUCCUGUGAAAAAUGACAGUUAUAAUGUUGAAUUUUAAUCUAAAAAGCUUUUCCUUGGAUAAUAUUCUACAUAUUUCAGGCUAUAAUUCGGGUUCUAAUGAUAUUCUCUAAGUGUAAAUGAUUUAUUUUCACGCUCAAUUUCCUCUUUUUCUUGAUCUAAAUCACUCCAGGAAGUCAAAGAGUGUGAAAAUGUGUGACGAAACGGAUGGAAAAUGACGUGAAAAUGCAAUAUUAGUAGCUUUCCGAGCGAUUUUAGUGGAAAACAAGGUGAAAAAUGACACUUUGAGCUUAAAAUACGGUUUUUAGAGAAGAUUCAAAACCAAACAAUAAACAUUAAAGCGUUAAAGAGAAUGUUAGAAAGGAUUCUAUAGGAAAAUGAUUAUUUUAAGGCGUGGAAAAAAUUAUUUUUCACCACAAAUGCAAAAAUUAAGAAAUGUUUUGAGUAAAAUAAAAAUUUUCACCACAAGUUUAGUGGAAAAAUGCGGUGAGAAAAGAAUAUUUCUCUCAUUCAUUUAUUUUUAUUUACGUCCUUUUUGAAUCACGAAAUAUUUUUCACGACGAAUCGAAUCAAUCUGGAAAUUCUCGAAUAAAUUGCAUAAAUUGUAAGAUUCUGAAAUCGACAUUAGCAACUCCUUUUAACGUCAAAUCAAGUCAGCCGAAGAGGAUUAAUAAAAUCUCCAAAUUCGUGGUUAAAUUUACACCCCAAAAAUUACUGUUUUGUGCAUUUUGUGGAUAAGAAAAAAAAAGAAUCUAUUUUUGGUACUUAAUUCGCAUGCAAUUAAAAAAUAAUAAUAUUUUCACAAAUUAUAUUUAAUGGGACAAAAAAAAGUGGGAUUCAGACAAAAAAUAAAAACACAGUGUUUAAUAAAAUCUACUCCAGAAUCAGUUGUUUCGAGACAAAAAAAAAUGCUAUUAAUAUGGCUUAAAUAUUUGACAGUCUAGAAAAAGUUAUUCAAUGCUGAAUAAAUCUAUAAAUAAUAUGGCUUAAACAAGACAAAUUUGUAUUUGUGGAUUUUCCUUCAUAUUCACAACACAUUCAGAAAAAUGUUAUCAAAAAAAUUUUGUUAUCUAUCUAGAAAGAGAGUCUUUUUUGGACAUUUUUACGCCAUGAAGAACAUUUAAAAGAAUAACCAAAAUACGAAUAAAUAAAAACUCAUCUUGCCAAAAUCAACAUCACAACAACAACACUCAUUACAAUUUGCAGACGAUAAAACUUUUACUAAUAUAUAUAUAUAUAUAUUAUAAAACUUAAAAAGAAAAAUCUCAUUUUGUGAUAGAUUUUUUUCCCGUUAUUACAAAAAAAAAUAUUGUACAACAAUUUUUCUGUGCUUCUAAUAAACAAAUAAAAUAAGAAAAAA